GCUCACAAAUAUUUCAAAAUGUCUUCCCCUCCCUUACAGGAAGCACAGAAGCCUGAGGGGAUUUUUCUCCAGUAUUGACUGUGGGAACCUGAUGGAGCCCCUGGAGGCAAAUAUCACAAUAUUGUGGGCCUCCCUCAUGACUGAGUUCCCUGGAGUUUUUAACUCUCUGAUUUGUCACUGAGUCUCUGUCAAUUUGUCAGUCACAGUUCAGGUUUUUAUUCCAUGGCCUUGGUUCCCACAGCAUUUUCUCUGUUCGAAGAAGCCAGGACUCCCUCUUCCCUCAGCUUGUCUUUUCCCAGGCCGCACAUAAAGGGAGAAAGGGAACCCCAAGUCAGUUGGAGCAUCUAGGUCAACCCCGGUGAUCAGGGGCAUGACAACUGAAGCGGCUAGCCCACCUCGCCUACAAAGAAUUUCAGGUAAAUGAGUCUAACAGGAGUGCCUUCUGUGGGCUAGACAUGAAGAGGAACCAGCAAUGGUUCCUGGUCUUCAGUAGCUUACAGCCUGGAAGGGCCAGAGUUAAAUAUCUUUCGCCUACUUCUCCUAGUCGAUAUAUACACAGUGUGAUUGAAUCAGUGGAAGCAUCACGGUAAACUUCAGCGUGGCCUGUGUCUGAGCUAUCCAAAAUUCAAAUUACUGGGUCUCUGUCUAAAUAAAGUUUCACUGGAUUUCUUUUCUUGGAUUUUUAUAUAACAGGAUUGAACUAUACCUGAACCCAGCCUAUAAUUUUAUUAGGUGGGAUUAGAUCUAUUGGAUCCUACUGGGUGCAGCCUUAUCAGGCAGAAGCCUACUGCUCGGUUGUGUAUUUAGAGAAAGAGCAGAAACUUUCCAAAGUACUGAGAAGUGGGACUAUGUCUCUCCACCCUUCCUUUAACGCUAUAGGUCUGUUUGGCUGGGUUUUCCUGUUUUUGUUGUUGUUGUUGUUGUCGUUGUUGUUUAAAUCCGGCAUAGAACAUGGAACUGUUGCUGCUGCUCCAGGUUUCCGGGCUUGUCCUCCUCCGAGCUCAGGGGACCAUGGGGCGUGAGCCCCUGCUGCUCCUCAGGCCCGUCAGCCACCAGCCACCACGUUAUCUUCUUACAGGCCUGGCACCAGGUCUGGAAACAUAGUUUCUAAAAUUAAAGACUUCUUUCCAUUCUGGAAUUUCGAACUCACCUUUAGAACUUAAAUGAGGGCUUGGUGAUGACAGCAAAAAAAUUAAUCUGGAGAGCUGGAUGCUCAAAAAGACUUAAAGUCCCAUCCGCUAACUGUACUGGACUUGAAAUGGAAACGGUUAUGUGUAUUUUGGAUUUAAGAGUUUUGUAAAGAAAUUCCUCCCCCCUCCCCCCAGAAGUUUUUGGUUUAAUUGCCUGGCAGGGUAAGAAAUCCCCACACAACAGUGUGGAAUUGGGGCAUGAAAAGCAGCAAGUGAAACGGAUUUAUGAAGCCCAUAAAUAAAAAUGAAACUCAUUUCAUUGUCCAAAUUGAGUAGAAAGGCACAAUCUGUCCCAAUUCUGAUAAACGGAAGAAUUGGACACACAUAAGGGUAAGUUCUUUCCAUUUUAAUAGAGCAAGUAAUGGGUGUAACAUAACUGAGGAAUUUCGGAAAAAGGGACACUUCGUUUUGCCAGACUUGACCAAGGCGGCAUGUUACCAUGUCUACUCAUGUUACCACAUCUAUGAGGGAAAAUACACUUUCCCAAAAAGACGCACAGUCAACUGCAUGUUCAGACAGCGCCCAACUGAGCAUUUUCCUUUAAAGGCAACAGCAGUGAAAGGAAUGAGAAGCCAAGGCCAAGGCGGCAGCCACGUCAGGCAGGAAGAACUUGGGAGAUAGUCAACCUUUUACUAUUCUCUCCGAAGAAGCACAUUGGUACUUAACUGUUCUUUGAAGCUGUUUAUUCCUGUGCAGACUGGGUAAGACUGAGGCGAGUGCCAGCCCUGAACAGCUAUAUUAAAAGAGGUGAUGCAGAGUGCCUGCAAUUUGACUGGCGGGAUAUUCGUGCUCUGUAGCUCCUUGGCGAGCUGCUGGCCACUGUCUGCUUCCUUCUCCACACUGAUUUCCAGCCCCACCUUCUCUGUCAGUUCAGUCUGUUCACUUUCCAACUAAAUUUCCUGGUUUUUUAAAAGAGAUUUUUGUUUGUAGUUUUUUGUUGGUCAGUUAUCAGUCUCUUCCUAGGCCUAGCUGUGACAAAGACAAGUGUGCAAGUUGGUUGGUCCAAAUUAAUAGUGAACACUUGUCAUACUUAUUCUGCUAGGCAUUGUACAUGAUUUAAAGAUAAAUUCGACCUGCGCCCCCACCUUCAGUAAUCCCACAGCAAAUGGCAGAGUCUUUACUUCCUCCCUCAGUUUUCCUCAGCACCCCCAGGCCACCCCAAGAUACAGUCAAUUUAGAUUGAAAUGACAUGUAUGCUUUGCAAAUGUGGCUUCCAGACAAGUUCUCUAAGCCCCUUUGAACUGGAUUGCUCCUUACACCUGUCUUAAGUGGAAAUUCUGAAGCUAUCAGAGUCUUCCAAGCAGACACUGAAAAGGCAACUAAAAAGUCACAUAAUCAAACCAUCUCUUCAUCCAUCUCUUCAUUCAUGCACAAUGCACGGCUUACACAGAGGCUAAGCAGAGAGAAGACUCCCUCCCCCUCUGUGUGAACCGGAAGCAUCCUGCCGCCUUUUGCACAGAGGAGAAACCAUCCUGCUCUGGGAGAUGAUAAAGUCUCUUCCGCCACCUCUUCCCGCCCUUGAGCUUCAAGAAUCGACUCUGUGUCAGCUUAGCCACCUUGAUUUAAAACAUGUCCAAUGUGGAUUCCUGGAACUGACCUUUCUUGUUUGGUGCUUUAUCCUUGGUUCACUAGAGACCAUGACCGUGAACAGGUUCUCCUGUGGUGAGAGUUUGACUAAUUAAAUUACCACAAUGGGAGGAACUUGAUUGUUAGAUAAAGCAAAAUGUGUCAGUGAAUGGAAGAAGAACUUGAACUGAAAAUUGGAGCCCAGAGAGACUAAAGUCAGUGUGUUAGUAGCACUUUGCAAGAGUCACCGAGUGAGUGCAAGGGAUCCAAGUGCUUUGACCACAAGAAAGAGGUUCCCUGCCAUGCGGAGAGAGAAUUCCAUUGGGUGCUCUAGCUUCCCAGUUCUGAUUUUGCAUUCACCAGGGUGGCUUCCUUUUCUAAACGCUUUGAUGUGGAAAGGGAAUCACCUGGCUUGGGAGCACGAGAAUUCCAAGCUCUAGAAAGGACAUGUUUGAACCCCAUGAUGAAUUAGGAUUUAUUGAUCAAUUUUAUAUCAAUUUCAUUAGAAUAAGGUCCUCACCAAGCAAACCUGAACUGUCAAGUCAAGGAGCAGCCCCUGGAACCUGUUGCCCAGAGAACCCCUUUCCUGCAGCCAUCCCCAUGGCAUCUUCCCAGAUUCCUCCCCAAAAUCCAGGACCUUCCCCAUCACUUUUCACUCAAGUACGAGGCCAUCCAUCAGACCAUGCGCCAGUGAGAUUGCGGGUUUUAAAGAUUUUAUGUCUUUCUCCUCCUUACCACCUUAUGACAGUUAAUACUUUCUGAAAGAAAGUAGGGUAGAGGGAGUAGGAUUAUGCAAAUUAACAUGAUUAUUAAGAAACGAAGGAAGAACUGCAGGCCCACUUGACUCAUGACUGGGCAGUGGUUCUGAUUUGCCGGUGUAGACUUGAAUAACACCCCUCUGACCAAUGAGUGCUCCCCAACAAUACUCCCUACAAAAGGGGGAAAAACAGAGCAACUCACCAUUAAAAUCCAGCUAACCUCCUUUUUGAAUCACUCUGACCUGGAUGAGGGAAAAACCCAGAAGGAGCAAAUUCGAAAAGUUUUCUUCAGGCUGAGAAUUUCUAAUUCCACCACUUUUGUGUGUGUGUUGUUGUUUGAUAGACAUGACAGCAUCUCAUUAUUAUGGAAAAUAUAGGGUUGGUGGUAAUUGCUAUCUGAAUAUGAAUGGGAGCAGAAGUGGGCAUAGCCUGCACUGGCCUUUCUUUGACAAGGUAUAACUUUCUUCUGAAUUUCUGUGUUAAUUAAUGCUUAUUUAAAAACCACUUUAAUUGGUAGUAAACACCUCAACUUUUUGUACUCAUUAAAAUGCAGCCAUUGAUGUGUGAUGGA